AAAGAGCAUGCCGGGUGUUCGGGCUUGUUCACUACCACGAGGAUCCUUCCUCGACUGUGAGGUGGGAGACUGUGUUGGUAGUGGCCAGGCCCGAUCUGAGAUCAUACCGGACGAACUUGAUCUGGAUAAUUCCAGCGAAAAGGACCAUGCUUCUUUUGAAAU
rnacentral:ncRNA from 1 species